UACGGAGGGUGCAAGCGUUAAUCGGAAUUACUGGGCGUAAAGCGUGCGCAGGCGGUGAUGUAAGACAGAUGUGAAAUCCCCGGGCUCAACCUGGGAACUGCAUUUGGGACUGCAAGGCUUGAGUUUGGCAGAGGAGACUGGAAUUCCUGGUGUAGCAGUGAAAUGCGUAGAUAUCAGGAGGAAUACCGAUGGCGAAGGCAGGUCUCUGGGCUAGAACUGACGCUCAUGCACGAAAGCGUGGGGAGCAAACAGG
rnacentral:rRNA from 1 species